CUGGAUGCCCAGGCUCUACAGUGCCUGCUCCUAUCAGUUUAGUAUCUGAUGCGCCCUCUAUCCGAGGACCAUAUAUUACAUGGACUUUUGGAGCUGGGAGAUGGAAUAGGAGCUUGCUCUGUCCACUCCACGCAUCGACCUGGUACUGUAGUACUUCCAGGAACAGUGUACCCCUC
ensembl:snRNA U2 U2 spliceosomal RNA